AAUGAACGCUGGCGGCAUGCCUUACACAUGCAAGUCGAACGGCAGCAUGACCUCGCUUGCUAGGUUGAUGGCGAGUGGCGGACGGGUGAGUAAUGCAUCGGAACGUGCCUUUUAGUGGAUGAUAACGUGACGAUAGUUCCGCUACUACCGCGUAUUCUCUGCUGCGGAGAGCAGGUGGCCUUCGGUCCUUGCGCUAGAAGGGCCGCCGAGGUCGGAUUAGCUGGUUGGUGGGGUAAAGGCUCACCAAGGGAAAGAUCCGUAGAGGGUCUGAGAGGAUGAUAGGCGACACUGGGACUGAGACACGGCCCAGAGUCCUAAGGGAGGCAGCAGUGGGGAAUGUUGGACAAUGGGCGCAAGCAUGAUCCAGCGAGGCGGCGUGAGUGAAGAAGGCCUUCGGGUUGUAAAGCUCGUUCGGGUGGGAAGAAAUCGCACUGGCUAAUACAGGGUGUGGAUGACGGUACCAGCAUAAGAAGCACCGGCUAACUACGUG
rnacentral:rRNA from 1 species